GACGAACGCUGGCGGCGUGCCUAAUACAUGCAGGUAGAACGCUGAAGAGAGGAGCUUACUCUUCUUGGAUGAGUUGCGAACGGGUGAGUAACGCGUAGGUAACCUGCCUUGUAGCGGGGGAUAACUAUUGGAAACGAUAGCUAAUACCGCAUAACAAUGGAUGACACAUGUCAUUUAUUUGAAAGGGGCAAUUGCUCCACUACAAGAUGGACCUGCGUUGUAUUAGCUAGUAGGUGAGGUAAUGGCUCACCUAGGCGACGAUACAUAGCCGACCUGAGAGGGUGAUCGGCCACACUGGGACUGAGACACGGCCCAGACUCCUACGGGAGGCAGCAGUAGGGAAUCUUCGGCAAUGGGGGCAACCCUGACCGAGCAACGCCGCGUGAGUGAAGAAGGUUUUCGGAUCGUAAAGCUCUGUUGUAAGUCAAGAACGGGUGUGAGAGUGGAAAGUUCGCACUGUGACGGUAGCUUACCAGAAAGGGACGGCUAACUACGUG
rnacentral:rRNA from 1 species